GAGUGUCCCAGCAGCUCCUGGGCUAGAGCACCAAGACCGAGUGCUCCUGGGAAGUAAAGACAUAGGAUCCAAGAAUGAGGGUUCCCCCAUGGCCUUUGCGGAGCUCUGAGGGCUCCGGGAAAGUACAGCCCAUGGGUCCAAGGACCUAGUGGGUUAAGAGCGUUUCCCAUGAUCCUCCUGUGUGUGCUCCUGGGAUUGCUGGGAAAUGUGGUCUUAGGGCCAGAGAAGUAGUUUUGGAGAAGGGCCCCCAAAGGCUCAUGGGAAACAGCAUAUUUGUAACUAGAUGGGGCCAGAAGGUGCUUCUGUUGGGUCCCCCAAGGGCUGCCUAGAAAACUUAGUGCCUCUGGGCCCUCCUGGGCCCAAGGGCCUACUGGGAG
rnacentral:lncRNA from 1 species